GACGAACCGAGCGAACGUUGUUCGGAAUCACUGGGCUUAAAGGGCGCGUAGGCGGGUGCUCAAGUCUGUGGUGAAAUCCUCCGGCUCAACCGGAGAACUGCCAUGGAUACUGGGUGUCUCGAGGGUGGUAGGGGUAUGCGGAACUAUCGGUGGAGCGGUGAAAUGCGUUGAUAUCGAUAGGAACACCGGUGGCGAAGGCGGCAUCCUGGACCGACACUGACGCUGAGGAGCGAAAGCCAGGGGAGCAAACGGG
rnacentral:rRNA from 1 species